GUUUACUGGGACUUAUCAACUGCUAAUGCAGUCCAGGAGUAAGCAAAUGGCUGGGCAGCAGUAUUUCUUGGGAUAUGCUCUAAGGUAGCCACUGUCAUAAUGUCCCUUCCAGAUCUUAGUUUGGGAAUUGGCCAAUAUAUCCAUCAGAUGGGCACAAAGAAGAGCAAAAACAAUGGCAGGAAUGUGAUGAGAAGAAAGGUCAAUGGAUGCCUGGUGAUGUGUGCCCACAGACCAAGAGCACUGGGUAAGAGGGGACUGUGACAGGAAAACCUCAGUUUAGUCCCCUCAGAAUAGGUUUGAGCCAUCUUCCUCCUCUAAGGAGUUUGCUGCAGACAACAUCAACAACCAGCUUCUCAACUACAUUUCUUCCUACCUUAAAAUUGUGAAGCCAUUAUGACCUGAUGUUACAGGAGAUCAUCUAAGCAAUAAUCCCCCUUUCCGGCACUACAGGACACAGGGAAAGCCUGCAAUUUAUGGAAUAUCUGAUGGCUCAGCUUUCCCCUCCUUUCCUCAGAGUCAUGAUGCCAUGUUCACAUUAAGGUGCACUGAGAAGGGGAGAAUGAUGUAUGGCCUGCAGUCCUUCAACUUUCCAGUCAUCUCCACCCUAAGAAAGGCUAGUGAUGAGUCGGCAAGCAUUAGUUGACAGAGAGUCAAAUUAUCAACAGGAUUAAAAAUAAAUAAAUAAAGUGCUCCAGCAACGCUUCCUAAGAAGACCAGCGGGAAGGGCUUACAGACGAGAACUACUCUAUACCCCAGGAGUUUCUGCUGGAAAUAUAGUUUGGUUAACUGGAAAUCCAGGGCGCUGCAGCAUUUAAAGGUAAAACUACAGAAACCCAUUACCAUCUUUAUUUUUGGUUCCGCUGCCUCAGCCAAGCCAUCCAGGUGAGGGUUAAUAAACAGAGAAAACCUGGAGAGGUUCCAAAUAAAGUGAGAACUAUAAAGACAAAGGCCAACGCUGCAAACAUCUCAGCCAGAAAGAACACUCUUAGCACCCUACAAGCAGGUAUGUGCUUACCAGCAAACUAAAGCAAAUGGAAAUUAAGAAGCAUGAUCGCCACCAGCAAGGUGCUUGCUGAACUAUAAGCCUUCAGAUGGUCAGAUAAAGUACCUGAUGCUGAAAAACAGGAAAUUGAAUCAUGUCUCCAAAAUGUGCCUUUUGUCAUGCACUGUUACAGCUAUAUUUCUUGCUCUUUAGGCCUUAAUGAUUGACAUGAUCUUGGAAAACAGUUAGGUAUGUAGCAAAACUCUCCUAGAAACCUGAAAGAUGUGGCAAGAAGAAAACAUGGAGCCUUUUCUGAACAAGCCUAUGAGAGAAGAAGAAUCACUUCAAUUUAUAAGUGUGGAUUCUGGGGCUAAAGAACUUACAUACAACCACACAGCCAGCAAAUUACUGACCCAGCAUAUUCUGAACCCAGGUCUUUAUUCUUUCCAAGACUUCACAGCGCCUUCCUCAGAGCAUCUCUACAUGAAAAUCUGUAUAAAGAAGUGAUCUGUAGUGUCACCAUUUGUAUCAAAAUGGUAUCACAAACUUAUUUAAAAGACUUUAUCUAAAAGUCUUCAGAUAGAGUUUUGGCCAGGGAAGAGCUCUAAUAUCACACAUUAAUAACCUCACCUUUGUAACAUGUAAAUUGUUUUUUGUUUUAACAUCUCAGUUUCAUUAAACUGAGACCAG